GCCUUUGUGGCGGAAUUGGUAGACGCGCUGGUCUCAAACACCAGUAACUUCACGGUUGUGUCGGUUCGAGUCCGACCGGAGGUACCA
rnacentral:tRNA from 1 species